rnacentral:rRNA from 1 species
GCCCACUGAUAAAAAUUAAAGGGCCGCAGUAUUUUGACUGUGCGAAGGGAGCAUAAUCAUUAAUCUUUUAAUUGGAGGCUUGUAUGAAUGGUUGAAUGAGAUAUAUACUGGCUUUUUUAAAAUUGUAUAGAAUUUUAUUUUUUAAUUAAAAAGUUAAAAUAAAAUUAAAGGACGAAAAGACCCUAUAGAUCUUUAUUUUUAUUAUUUAUAAAUUAAAAAGAAUUUUAAAAUUUAUAAUUUAAUUAAAAAUUUUAUUGGGGUGAUAUUAAAAUUUAAAGAACUUUUAAAAUUUAUUAACAUUAAUAUAUGAAUAAAUGAUCCAGUUUUAUUGAUUAAAAAUUUAAGUUACCUUAAGGAUAACAGCGUAAUUUUUUUUUAAAGUUCAUAUCGACAAAAAAGAUUGCGACCUCCAUGUUGGAUUAAGAGUUAUUUUUAGGUGUAAAAGUUUAAAGUUUAGGUCUGUUCGACCUUUGAAUUCUUACAUGAUCUGAGUUC